rnacentral:rRNA from 1 species
AGUGUAGCAAUACAUUUGAUGGCGACCGGCAAACGGGUGCGGAACACGUACACAACCUUCCUUUAAGUGGGGAAUAGCCCAGAGAAAUUUGGAUUAAUACCCCGUAAUAUUUUGAAGUGGCAUCACUUUAUAAUUAUAGCUCCGGCGCUUAAUGAUGGGUGUGCGGCUGAUUAGGUAGUUGGCGGGGUAACGGCCCACCAAGCCUGCGAUCAGUAACUGGUGUGAGAGCACGACCAGUCACACGGGCACUGAGACACGGGCCCGACUCCUACGGGAGGCAGCAGUAAGGAAUAUUGGGCAAUGGACGCAAGUCUGACCCAGCCAUGCCGCGUGGAGGAUGAAGGUCCUCUGGAUUGUAAACUUCUUUUAUCUGGGAAGAAACCCAUCUUUUCUUGGGUGGUUGACGGUACCAGAUGAAUAAGCACCGGCUAACUCCGUGCCAGCAGCCGCGGUAAUACGGAGGGUGCAAGCGUUAUCCGGAUUCACUGGGUUUAAAGGGCGCGUAGGUGGGCAGGUAAGUCAGUGGUGAAAUCAUGUAGCUUAACUACAGAACUGCCAUUGAUACUAUUUGUCUUGAAUACCCUGGAGGUGAGCGGAAUAUGUCAUGUAGCGGUGAAAUGCUUAGAUAUGACAUAGAACAUCUAUUGCGAAGGCAGCUCACUACGGGAAUAUUGACGCUGAGGCACGAAAGCGUGGGGAUCAAACAGGAUUAGAUACCCUGGUAGUCCACGCCCUAAACGAUGAUCACUCGACAUCAGCGAUACACUGUUGGUGUCUGAGCGAAAGCAUUAAGUGAUCCACCUGGGAAGUACGAUCGCAAGAUUGAAACUC